rnacentral:rRNA from 1 species
GUUUAACCGGAGAAGUGCAUCGGAAACUGGAUAACUUGAGUGCAGAAGAGGGUAGUGGAACUCCAUGUGUAGCGGUGGAAUGCGUAGAUAUAUGGAAGAACACCAGUGGCGAAGGCGGCUACCUGGUCUGCAACUGACGCUGAGACUCGAAAGCAUGGGUAGCGAACAGGAUUAGAUACCCUGGUAGUCCAUGCCGUAAACGAUGAGUGCUAGGUGUUGGAGGGUUUCCGCCCUUCAGUGCCGGAGCUAACGCAUUAAGCACUCCGCCUGGGGAGUACGACCGCAAGGUUGAAACUCAAAGGAAUUGACGGGGGCCCGCACAAGCGGUGGAGCAUGUGGUUUAAUUCGAAGCUACGCGAAGAACCUUACCAGGUCUUGACAUCUUGCGCCAACCCUAGAGAUAGAGCGUUUCCUUCGGGAACGCAAUGACAGGUGGUGCAUGGUCGUCGUCAGCUCGUGUCGUGAGAUGUUGGGUUAAGUCCCGCAACGAGCGCAACCCUUGUUACUAGUUGCCAGCAUUAAGUUGGGCACUCUAGUGAGACUGCCGGUGACAAACCGGAGGAAGGUGGGGACGACGUCAGAUCAUCAUGCCCCUUAUGACCUGGGGCUACACACGUGCUACAAUGGACGGUACAACG